GGAUGCGAUCAUAGCGGCACUAAAGCACCGGAUCCCAUCAGAACUCCGAAGUUAAGCGUGCUUGGGCGAGAGUAGUACUAGGAUAUGGGUGACCUCCUGGGAAGUCCUCGUGCUGCAUUCC
rfam:Triticum aestivum genome assembly, contig: Triticum_aestivum_CS42_TGACv1_scaffold_463881_5DS